rnacentral:tRNA from 1 species
AAAUAAGAAGCAAUCUAUGCAUUUAGUUUCGACCUAAAAAUAUGACUUAGUCGUCCUUAUUUU